GGUGGCCAAAAAGUUCGUUCAGGUUUUCCUGUAAUGUGGAAAAACCCUAACGAACCUUUUGGCAAAC
rnacentral:miRNA from 1 species